rnacentral:lncRNA from 1 species
UUAGCUCUCCUGCUCAGCGAGUAACGUGACUUCAAGUUUGGACACCAAUCAUAUCUUUCAACCUCAAUUCUACCUCGUCGCAUUACAGCUGCCACAUCAGCAGUAAUGGUACCAACACUAGUAAACCAAGCCUCAACAUUAGGUGAAAUGACUUGUGAGUUUCUCCGGUUAGCCUCCGCUCUUUGAUGCACCCCAAUUCUGAUAUUCUCCAGCUUCUCAGAUUCAUUUUCCAUAGAUCUGAUGUUUCUCUUGUAGUAAACGAAAUACCCAAUCCCUCGCGCAACUGGCUGGAUCAAGCAAUCUGUUACCUUGUCCACAAAAAUAGAUAAGAUUUCCAUAUCUGAUUGAUUAAUUCUUCACUAGAUUUCUUAGUUACAAGGUAGAAUGAAAAUAGGUUGAGAGUGAAUUGAAAGCUGAUAAUUGCAGGGCUUUCAGGUAGGUACUACUAUUAACUCUCCUUCACCAUCUUGAAAGUGACUAAUCAACAAACACAUUAUUGAGGCACUUAAUUCAACUUGUAGUUUCUUCAAAAAAUCGUCAUAUCAUAUCAUAUUAAUUUAAUGUUUGAGGUAUAAAUUACGAGAUAAAAUAAUUAAUACUCCCUCCAUUUCAUAUUAAUUUAAUUUUUGAGGUGUUUCACACCCUUUAAAAAAAGUAGAUUAAGAUAUAAAUUGAACAUAGUUUUCCAUUUUUACCCAUAUUAAUUAUUGUCAAUUUUAUGAUUAAAAUAACUAAAUAUUAAUUAAUCACUAAUUCCAAUACUAACUAAUGAAGGAUAAAAUUGGAAGAACACUCUAAAAGUAAUCUUAAAAACUGAACAAUUAAGUUAAUUUAAAAUAUGAAAAAUACCUCAAAAAUUAAAUUAAUAUGGAAUGGAGGGUCAAUCAAUGCUAAAUUAAAUGUUGUUCCAGCUGUGAGAUGUUGAAGUUUUAACCUCUUCUGAAAAAGUCUAAACAUCAAGUUGUAUUAAUUUUAUCAACAACUACCGUCUGGUUUGCCGACAAAAUUAUAGGUUUUGAAUUAUAAUUUUGGGAUUAUUUUAAUUCAUCUAAGAGGUAAGAUAAAAUAAUAACAAUUUGAAUAGGAUAAGAUAGAAUAUCUAGUAUUAAGAUUGAGAUUUAAUUACUCUAAAUAAUUGAAGGUAUAAAUUUAACAUGGACAGAAAUAUUCAACAAAGACAUUAUACUAUGUCAAUUUGAAUUAAUCAGAACUGCAAUAUAGAAGUAUUAUAUAUCAGCUGAAAAAUAUAUUUUAAAAAGUUAUUUUUAAAUAAACGCGUCAAACGUGAUAAAAAGUAGACUAAGUCUGCUAGCUUUCAGUAGAUGAAAAUGCUACAUAAAAUAUAUUAUUUGAUUUCACAUUGCUUAUGAUGAGUAAUUACACUAUGAACUUCAUUAGUUUCAACUUCAAUUGAAACACUAACAAGGGUCGUGGUGGAGUGAUAAGUACUAUUUUAUCCUUAAUCGAGAAGUCUUGAGAAUUGAGUCUCCUUGUAUAGGGAGGGAGUCCCUUUUGUUAGGAAUUAAUCACUUUACCCACCCAAAUUCAAUAUAGGACUUUCUGAUGUGAAUCUGAAUUUAAUCAUGCUCCAAUGUGAAUACGAGAUGAGAAAAAAAAAACUUUAGCUAAAACAUUCAAAUAUUAUUUUAAGUAAUAUUAUGAAGUUAUGGCGGCCUUAUAUGUUACCAGAUGGUGCAAGAAAGCUGGCUAUUCUAGGUCAAUGACUUCUUUGCUAAAGAGACCUCUUCAAGUGGAAGUAGUGCCUAUAAGUAGGCCAACAAGGCUUUAACACACCAUCUUAAGGAAUAUUUACAAUUUUUUAACCACUAGACUAAACAUUUCACUAUUAUCAUGGGGUGUUAAUACUUUUAUAUAUAUUUAUUAAACCAAAAUUUUACCUCUAUAUACAAUGUAAUUUUUUGGCGAAGGGGUGUCGCUCGACACCCCUUGACCAAGCGUGGGUCCGCCCCUAGAUACGACAAAUGUACUUUUUUGUUAGUUGAACCAUUGUAUUUUGCCUAUAGUAUGUCAUUUUGUCGAUUGUUUAGAUUAUCCUCGUUGUUAGGUCCAUGUCUCUCUAUGCUUUUGUAAAUUUUUGAAUGUUAAAUAGUUUUUGAAACUUAUGGAUAUAAAUCAUGUUUCUUUAAAAAGUCAAAUAUUUCUCACAAAAAUUAUAAUCAAAACACAUAAUGAAACUUCACCAAAAAAUGACCAGUCAAAAAUAUUUGAGAAUCUAUAGCAAAACUCUAGCUUCAUCUUAAAUAUUCAUAUUCAGUAUAAAUAAGUCAUAUCUUGCUAUUUACUAAUCCAUCAUUUGUGGAUUUCCAGACAUCUUAACAUAUACUAAUAUUUAUGACUGUUGGUCCAUAACUUCUCUUGGCAAAAAUCUUGUAACAGUCAUGGCCCUCCCAACAUUUUUACAUAUUUGAUAAAAUGAACCUAGCAUUUUGUGCUUCCACAGAAAGAAGAAUAUUACACACUAGUCUUGGUAAAUCCUCAAACAAAAUUGUAUAACGAAAUGGCCUUUUGGCAAACGAUCCACUUAAUCUAUUUUGAGUUCUCCAAAUAUCUCCUUCUCCUCAUGCAAUGUGUUAAAUACAGAAGUCAGCUCUGGGAAUGCGGACACCAGUAAUAGCUCGAGAAGAUCAAGGACUAACUGCUUCACACA